GCUGUGCAGUAAAGAGACACAUUUGUUUUUUGAAAUAUUAUUUUCCAUCAUGGUCUAUCCCAGGAGAGUGGAUAUGGUUCCCUAUGUGGAUAUAGUUCCCAGUAGGACCUUGUUGUUCAAAGUUGGUCAUAAUGGGCUAAAACUAACAAAAGUCAGCAGUUCUUCUGGAGCCUCUGGGAGAAAAUUCGUCUCCUUGCCUUCCCAGCAUGUAGAAGUUGCUUGCAUCCUUUGGCUCCUGGUCCCUUCCUCCAUCUUCAAGCCAGCACUAGAGUAUCCUCAAAUCCCUCUCGUUCUCUGACCUUCCCCCUGUUCUUUUACAAGGACCCUUUUAUUUCCAAUGGGCCCACCUGGAUACAUCAGGAUAGCUCCUAUAGCAAGAUCUUUAACUUAUGAUUGUCAAAGUCCCUUUUGCCACAUAAGGUGAUAUAAAUAUUUCAGGGAUUAGAGGCAGAUGUCUUUUUUUUUUCUUUUUAUGGUCACACCUGUGGCAUAUGGAAGUUCCUAGGCUAGGGGUCUAAUCAGAGCUGUAGCCACUGACCUGUGCCACAGCCACAGCAACACAGGAUCUGAGCCGCAUCUGUGACCUACGCUACAGCUCACGGCAACACUGGAUCUCUGACUCACUGAGCAAAGCCAGGGAUCGAACCCGCAUCCUCAAGGAUACUAGUUGGAUUCGUUGCUGGAGGCAGAUGUCUUGAGGGGCGAUUACCACAGUGAUUAUAUAUUUUAAAUACCAUACCUGAGUAUAUGUUACAAGUAGGUCCAUAUCACAAAAACUUUCUGAAAUAAUGCAGACCUUUAGUUUUCCUAUCUGGUUGAGAAGUUCUCAGUAUCAAAUAGAUGGAAUAGUUAAAAGAAAAAAAAGAGUUGGGGGGAGUAUAAAAAGAUGGAGUAAGGAAGAGAGAAAAAGAAUGCAAAUAUCAUUUGCGUGUCCAAAUCUCCUGAUUCAGAGAGGGCUAAGGCAGGGAAGAGCAAGGACCCUAAAUGAAUGGAUCCCAGCCAGGGCAAGAGGAGACCCCAGAAACUGAUGGUGGGAUUGCACCAGGUAAGGUCCGAUCCUUCCAGAGUCAGUGGUCUCUAAAUCUGGUAUACUGAGGCACAAAGCAAGUGAAAAAUGCCUGUCUGAAUGUCCUCUGUGAUGUAAUGCUCAUGGAACUAUGUGCAGUUGGUUAGAUGAGGUAUGGGGAGAUUUUAAGGGACAACUAAUCUUAGAGGGCAGAACCAUAUCGGAUGGGACUUUGUGUAUCAAAAUGCCUCGUACGCACUGAGGGACAGUCUCCUGAAAUAAAAUCCAGGAGACACAACAGACUGUUAGCUCCAUGAGGAAUCACCUGUUGGUCCUAUCACCACUGAUUCCUAGAUUUGGGAACAGCGCUGGGCAAAGAGCAAGUAUCUAGUAACUCUGUGUCAAAUGAAUAAAAGAAAAAUGAAUGUAAGAAAAAGUCUGGGGUAAAUAAUAUGUUUUGGUGUGGAUAAUGAACAUGUAAAUAUUCCUUUUAAUAACCAGAGAAUGCUGGAAACCAAUACUCAAUUCAGUGUACUGACAUUUUGAUGCUAUCAGAACCCAAGUGAUCAAAUGAAUGAAAAGUCUACAUAGGAGGAGUUUAUAAAUACAGUUUCCAGACUUAUCAAAUAAAAAUACGGGAUGUCCAGUUACAUGUGAAUGUGGGAUAAACAAUGAAUAAUUUUUUCGUAUUAAGUGUGUCCCAAAUGCUGUAUGACAACGUAGCUCUAAGAUCAUAUUGCAUCGUAUUUUAGGUAAAUCGUAACUUUGUAAAGAUGUUAUGGGCUCAUUGAUGGUAUUAUUAAGGAGAAAAGGAAGUGCUUUCACUAGAUUGUGUUUAAAAUGGGGGUGGAAGGUGGAAACUUGCUGUGUUGUAUUGUGCUGUUUUAAAAGCAUGCUUGUCUGUAAGUGAGUGCCCAUGGAGACGGACUGAAAUUCAGCUUCUCAGAAAUUCUGCAGAGCUACCAGGGAAUGGUAAUCAGCAAGGAUAAAAUCUGAAGGGAAGGUCAGUGAGGCAGGUAAGAGCUGCUGCAUCCAUAUCACCUAAAGUACACACAAAGCAGGACCAAGCAGGAAGAACAAGAGGGAAAAACAGAAUCACGCAAUGCAAGUUGCAUUAGAUUGCCUUUAGGAAAGUCUCCAUCAGUCCCAAAAGCCACUUUAAUUUUAUGUGCAUAUUGUGCUGGCAUAGCCCAUGAAAUAGACUUGAUCAUGUCCUAUGUACGGAGUGGUCUGUCUUCAUAACACCCAGUUACUGGUAAUUCACUGUUUUUCUUAGAAAAGACAUGGUGUUGCUGUGUUCAUUUGUGACUGAUCUGAAAAAUCUCUAUCGAAGCCUUCUUUUCCACUAGGCAUUGAAACGCUACCUGGCUGUUAGGCCUGAAAAUACCAGAUGGAGCCUGAGAGCAGAGCAGACACUGUUGUCAUAGAAACGAGAUGCUAUCCCAGCUCUACACAGCUGCCAUCUUUUUUUUUUCCUUUCACAGUGAAAAGUUCUGAUAGGAACAAGUACUGACAAAAUAUAGAGAUUCUCCCUCCCCCCACAAACUCACCUGCCUCAGAAAAUAGAGCUACAUUUCAAAUGUUGCACAGAUAAUUCAUUAAUAUAUCUGCAGUGUUCCCAGAGCCUUAAACUAUGGGAAAAAAAUGACUCAAUUUCCAGGUCUUCUAAUCAGAGUACAACUGGGAAGCCCCUGCUUUGGCAUCAUCUUCUUUCCUCUCAACUGCAGUGAUGCAUUUGUCCUAACCCCAAAUGAGACAAUAUUCUUUAUUGCCAGGGGAUCUCAGCUUUGACAUUCCUGGAAAAUGCAUCUUAAGUGUUUGUAAACAUUCUGCAACGUCUGUUCUUGGCAGGAGAAUGGAGAGUGACCUCUCAGGAUUCUCUGCCUUCCCCACAGUGGCCAGCAGACUGCUGAGCACACAGAAGGGGUGUGAUGAAUCCAUGUGGCUUGAUGUCCGAGCUUGAGGGAGGCAGUUAUUGUCCAAGCUUGAGGGAGGCAGUUAUUGGCCAAGGUCCCACACUGCUGCCUUUUCUCUUUGGGGCAACUAUGGCAUCGUCAGGGAAUGUGACUGUGAGAAAAGUGCUCUGCUCAGAUGGGAAGAGGGGCCAGCAGUAUUUUCUAGAAACAAAAAAUAGUUGCUCUUGUGGUCUUCCACCACUGGGAACAAUUUUUCAGCCUAGGGCCUUGAAGCUCUGGCUUGAAGAGUAGUGUUUAGCAACAAAGGACCAGCCUCCCCCCAAAAAAAAGAAAAGAAAAGGAGUUCCUAUUGUGGCCCAGUGGAAAUGAGUCUGUCUGGUAUCCAUGAGGUUGCAGGUUUGAUCCCUGGCCUCGCUCAGUAGGUCCAGGAUCCCACAUUGCCAUGCGCUUUCGUGUAGGUCACAGAUGUGGGUUGGAUACCUCACUGCUGUGGCUGUGGUGUAGGCCUGCAGCUGCACCGUCAAUUGACCCUUAGCCUGGGAACUUCCAUAUGCCAAGGGUGAGGCUCUAAAAGGCAAAAAGCAGAAAACAAACCAAAAAAAGACCAUUAAAAUUGAUGAUGGUUUAGGAGUUUCCACUGUGGCUCAGCAGGUUAAGGACCUGAAAUUGUUUCUCUGAAGAUGCAGGUUUGAUCCCUGGCCUUGCUCAGUGGGUGAAGGAUCCAGUGUUGCCGCAAGCUGUGGCAUAGUUCAUCUGGCAUUGCUGUGGCUGUGGUGUAGGAGAUGCAGCUCGGUUUCAGUACCUAGCCUAGGAACUUCCAUAUGUCAUGGGUGCAGCCCUAAAAAAAAUUUUUUUUUAAUGACAUGGUUAAGGGUAAUGGGUCCUAUAUUCAUUUCCUAUUUCCACUGUAACAAACUACCUGACACAGGUAAAACAACACAAAUGUAUUCUUUUACAGUUCUUAAGGUCAAGAUUCAAAAUCUGUGUCACUAAAGUUAAUAUGCCAGCAGGGCUGGUUCCUUCUGGAGGUUCUAGGGGGGGACCCUCUUUCCUUGCUUUUUUCCACUUCUAGCACCUACCACAUGCUUUGGCUCUCACCACCUUUCUCCAUCUUCAAAGCCAGAAGCCCUGCAUCUUGCUUCUAUCAUCAUUUUGUCUCUCCCUUUAUAGUCCAAGGCCACUGUCUCCCUUAUAAGGACUCUUGCGAUUAUAUUCACAGCCCACCCAGAUAAUCCAGGUUAAUCUUCUCAUUUCAAGAAUCUUAAUUACAUCUGUAACCUCCCUUGCACUAUAUAAGGUAACAGUCACAGGUUCCAAAGAUUAGGACACGGAGGAGUUCCCAUCAUGGCUCAGCAGUUAAUGAACUCAACUAGGAACCAUGAGGUUGCAGGUUCCAUUGCUGGCCUCACUCAGUGGGUUAAGGAUCUGGCGUUGCCGUGAGCUGUGGUGUAGGUCACAGAUGCACCUUGGAUUCCUGCGUUGCUGUGCCUGUGGCAUAGGCUCACCGCUACAGCUCCAAUUAGACCCCUAGCCUGGGAAGCUCUAUGUGCUGCAGGUGUGGCCCUAAAAAAACAAAAAACAAAGAUGAGGACAUGGUUAUCUCUUUGGGUCCAUUAUUCUGUCUACCACAGUUCCCAGACCCAAAUAGUCAUUAGAAUUACCUGGGAAGCUUUUAAAAAAUAAAGAUUCCUAGACCCUAUGUGGGAGGGUUCCUAUCAGAAUUUCUUAGGGGGUGGGUGUGGGGUGGAGCCUGAAAGACUCUUUGAAAGACUCUUUGAAAGACUCAGGUGAUUCUGUUGGAAACUUCUAUUAGAGCUUCUUAAACUCUUUCCUAAACACAUGCAGUGUGCAGGAUUAGUAACACUGAAAUUGGCUCCUUCAGGGUCAAUGAGUAUGUGGAAGAGUUUUUAAACACGUUCUUGUUUGGAGUUCUCUGGUGGCCUAGUGGUUCAGGAUUCGGCAUUGUCACUGCUGUGGCUUGGGUUCACUGCUGUGGCUUGGUCCAGUUUCUGGCUCAGGAACUGCCACGUGCUGUGGGUGUGGCCAAAAUGAAUAAAUAAGAAAAAUGAAAAUUAAAAUGUAUUUGCUUGGAAGCUUGGAAGGUCAUGCCAUCCUCCGAUGUUUACAAUGCUCCCACAGAAUGGCUUUGGCAAGUGUUUGCAUCACCUGACCUGGGCCUAGGAACUCUUCAAUUUAGUGAUAAAAAUACCAGUAUUGUUUGCUAAUGCCUCACUAGACCUUUAACCAUAAGAAAUAUAUAUCUUGAUAUCUGGGAUCAGCUGUUAUUUCUUUUCCUUAUAGAGGCUUUUCCACUUACUGGCUCAGAACAUUCUCUUCCUUCAAAGAUGCCUCCAUGUUCUCAGAGCUCUUCAAGUUGCCUAUUUCACCUGCUUCAAGAAGAAUGGCUGUGGUAGAGGAUAAAACCCAUACAGUAUCUUUAGAAAAACCGUAAAUAUUUCAUCGUUUCUUACUAAACAUACAUUAUUUACUCUGUAAUGUAAAUAUUUUAUGGCCUGCAACUGGAAUUUUGGAAUAUAUUGGUAUGUUUGGAGAAUUGCUGUUCAGUUAAAAAAAAAUCCUACCCUGCACCCCCAGCUCAUAUUUAACUUAUACAACUCUUUAAGAGGCACUUAACUCUCAGAAUUAAGGGAGUAAUAGAAGCUAUUUUUCAAAAGGGGCCUUGAGGACCAUUCUCAGACCCUGAGACAACACAUUUGUGUGAAAAGAGAAAGUUGAAAACUGUAACAGCUCAGAACUUCCCUCCACUGGGAGAUGACAGCAUUGGACCCAAGUGGGUCCAGUUUCAUCCAGUGGAGAGAAGGGGCAGACAUGCACACAACCAGCUCAUUAGAAUCUUCAGAAUCUGGUUAGGAGUGGCAUCUGAGAAGAAGAAUUUUACCACCCACAAAAAGGCAGAAAAUCUUCCUCAGCUUAAGGAGAAGUCUUUGGAACUAUGGACAGAACAAGAAAAUCCUUUCAUUAAAUAAAAUGGCUCCAUGUCAGACAUUAAAGCCAGAUUUUCAAAUAGAAACCUAAACUGUUUGGAGAAUUUUUUUUUUUUUUAAUUUCAGUGACUCUCCAAUAUAGGAGGUCAUAGGAGCUGCCAUCAUUCUAAAUUACAGCCCAUUUCAGAGAGGUUGGCUGUAAUCCAGGAGGUUGCAUUAUUCCAAAUUGCCUGUCAAAAACUGUCAAAACACUGCCAUUAUCAAAAAGUAGUCCUUUUAAAUAAUUUUCUCACUCUUUUCCCUGAAACUCUACUGGCAUGAAGCCUUAAUAUCAUAGCUUAUAGGCAUAGUAAGUGAAAGCUUUUGAAAUGAGAAGUGGGAAAAAAAUUCUAGGCAUAUAACAACAUACAAAAUUCUAGGCAAAAAAUUCAGUCAAGUUUGGAAAUAUUGUAUUCCUCAAAGCAAUAGCCAGUGCUAAUCUACUCAGGAAAUGAUAACCAAAGAAUACAGAAUUAUGAGUCCCCACAGUAGGACUUUUUUCCACAUUCAACACUUGGAAAAAAAAAUUCUAGAAUAAAUUGCUAGACUUGGAGUGGCUCAGCAGUUAACCAACCUAACUAGGAUCCGUGAGGAUACGAGUUCAAUCCCUGGCCCUGCUCAGUGGGCUAAGGAUCCUGCAUUGCCCUGAGCUGUGGUGUAGGUCACAGACACAGCUUGGAUCUGGCGUUGCUGUGGCUGUGGUGCAGGCCGGCGGCUGCAGCUCCAAUUUGACCCCAAGCCUGGAAACCUGUAUAUACUGUGAGUGUAGCCCUAAAGAACAAAAAA
ensembl:lncRNA